AGGUGGGAGGAUUGCUUGAGCCUGGGAGGUGGAGGUUGCAGUGAGCCGAGAUCACGCCAUUUGCACUCCAGCCUGGG
ensembl:miRNA